rnacentral:lncRNA from 1 species
UCAAUAUCGUGGCAGCGACAUGCAUGGGCCAGACUGCAUGCCUGGUCCAAUACACAGAUGGUACUGAUUGAGGCUGCAUAAAAAACGGCCGAAUAUUGUCAAUUUUAAUCUUUUUUUUGGGGGGGGGGGGGGGGGUUUGGGGGUUGUGUUUAAUAUCAGAAUCCACAAUCUGAACCUCGGGGUCAAAAUUGUUGAUGUUGAAUUGAGGAAUAUGUCUUUGACAAAGCUGUCACAGCAUUCAUGGUGGAACAGACAUAUGUACGAAAGCUCCAUGCCUGCAUCUACCGGGUGUUACAAUCGCCAUUGUUGAUUAAAAUAAGCAAUACAUGGCUUAAUGAUUUCUCAAGUCAAAACUGACCUCUUACUCGAUUGAUUUCUUACAUAGCCAUGCGGAUGGUUUAAUUAACGCCACGAUGGAGCUG